AUGAGCUCCGCGGCACCUAGCCUUCCUGGUGACGCUGUUCGCAGGCCCAUGUCCUCGUACUGCUUCCUUGAAUUCACCCAGGAGAUGGCACACGAGGAGCUGCAGCUGCGUGCCACGGCGCUGAUCAUGGCUGUGGCGUCCGAGGACAUGUACCCCGAGAAAGUCAAGGCCGCCAUCAUGAAGGAGUACCCCGCGGUUCCGCCUGGGGCCGUGUCCGUCUCCCUCUACCACGAUGUUUUUCUGCUACGCUUCUCUGACGCGCAGUGGAGAAACGUGGUGGCGGACGGCGGCGUCUUCCACGACGGGCAAGGCACCCCCUACCUGCCCAAGGAGUGGUCUCGCCGUUCCUUUUCGGAGCUCCCGACCAUGCGCUACAAGGUGCGCCUCUUUCUUGAGAACUUGCCUGUGCAAGCAUGGAACCUCGAGACGGUGAAGCGCAUCCUCCCCAUGCUCAAGAUUCACGCCGUCGAGGUGGAGACCUAUAACAAGACCGACGUAUCCUACUACAUCCUCUACGCCUGGGUGCUCUCGCCGGACCUGCUGUCGCGCUUCGUCCAGCUGGGGACCGAUGAGCCGCGUCGCCAUGCCGCAUCGGAACCCAUCGGCCAUUUGCAGCUGCCGGCGGGCUUCAUGCAGACCAUCGAGGCGAACGCGCCGCUGCCCGAGUGCCCGCGCGUCCAUGAUGGGCUGGUGCUGGUGCACCUCGACUACUUGGAGGAGUACGCCUUAGGCGGCGGGGGUUCAGGCACUUCGGCGGAUCGGGACGGCAGAGGCGUUUCGCUCCAUGCUGCCCGCCCCCUCCCCUGGGCGAGGGGAUCCGUCGCUGGUGCCCGCUCCGCUCCGGCGCCGCCGGGGAGGCCGUCCAUCUUCUCCAGGCUCGGUGCCCGUACGGGAGUGAAGGGCCGCGGUAGUGUCUUCCUGGUGGACGAGGAUGGCGCCGUCAUCAACGGCAGGGCGCUGGACCCCACGUCUGACGAGGCACGUCUGCCCUACGGCGCGUUAGCCCUACCGGUGGUUGGCCGCGUGCAGCCAAGAGCCCACGAUGCUGGCGAGGGUGGGCUGUCCCAGACGGUUGGGGCAAGCUCUCCUACGUCGAUCGGAGCCAUGCAGUCUGAAGCCCUCCACUUCCAUGUUCCUGUCGAGCCGGCGCUGUAG
rnacentral:rRNA from 1 species